rnacentral:rRNA from 1 species
GCGACGAUCCAUAGCUGGUCUGAGAGGAUGAUCAGCCACAUUGGGACUGAGACACGGCCCAAACUCCUACGGGAGGCAGCAGUGGGGAAUAUUGGACAAUGGGCGCAAGCCUGAUCCAGCCAUGCCGCGUGAGUGAUGAAGGCCUUAGGGUUGUAAAGCUCUUUCACCGGAGAAGAUAAUGACGGUAUCCGGAGAAGAAGCCCCGGCUAACUUCGUGCCAGCAGCCGCGGUAAUACGAAGGGGGCUAGCGUUGUUCGGAAUUACUGGGCGUAAAGCGCACGUAGGCGGAUAUUUAAGUCAGGGGUGAAAUCCCAGAGCUCAACUCUGGAACUGCCUUUGAUACUGGGUAUCUUGAGUAUGGAACAGGUAAGUGGAAUUCCGAGUGUACAGGUGAAAUUCGUAGAUAUUCGGAGGAACACCAGUGGCAAAAGCGGCUUACUGUUCCAUUACUGACGCUGAGGUGCGAAAACAUGUGGAGCAAACAGGAUUACAUACCCUGGUCUUCCACGCCGUACUCAAUGAGAGUUAGCCGUCGGGGAGUAUACUGUUCGGUGACACACCUAGCGCAUUAAACAUUCAGCCUGUGAAGUACGGUCGCAAGAUUAAAACUCACACGAAUUGAUGGGGGCCCGCACAAGCGGUGGAGCUGUGGUUUAAUUCUAAGCAGCGCGCAGAACCUUACCA